UUUUAUCACAGACUGCGUUAGGGAUGGAAGCGAUAUCCUUUUGCGAUUACCGUACAUUUAAAAUUCCCUGAAACUUCUAUCGCAAAAGAUUUAGCGGACAGCCCGACCCAAA
rfam:Flavobacterium spartansii strain MST NODE_3_length_580379_cov_49.0781, whole genome shotgun sequence.